rnacentral:rRNA from 1 species
AUGCACGCUGGCGGCGUGCCUCAUACAUGCAAGUCGAGCGAACAGACGAGGAGCUUGCUCCUCUGACGUUAGCGGCGGUCGGGUGAGUAACACGUGGAUAACCUACCUAUAAGACUGGGAUAACUUCGGGAAACCGGAGCUAAUACCGGAUAAUAUAUUGAACCGCAUGGUUCAAUAGUGAAAGACGGUUUUGCUGUCACUUAUAGAUGGAUCCGCGCCGCAUUAGCUAGUUGGUAAGGUAACGGCUUACCAAGGCAACGAUGCGUAGCCGACCUGAGAGGGUGAUCGGCCACAAUGGAAAUGAGAAACGGUCCAGACUCCUACGGGAGGCAGCAGUAGGGAAUCUUCCGCAAUGGGCGAAAGCCUGACGGAGCAACGCCGCGUGAGUGAUGAAGGUCUUCGGAUCGUAAAACUCUGUUAUUAGGGAAGAACAAAUGUGUAAGUAACUAUGCACGUCUUGACGGUACCUAAUCAGAAAGCCACGGCUAACUACGUG